AUGCCGGUUCCAGCAUCAGCCAUGGUCGCCUGUAGCAAACCGCCACCGCCCGUCCCAGCACCCUACAUGGCCAGUUCCAACAAAUUGGGGCCGUCGUUCCAGGAUCUGCUGGUGCCUAAUGUAGCACCGCGGUGUCCGCGCAUCUUCUUCAACACCGAUGGUGCCACCGCCGUGUCGCCGGUCAAAGUCGUUGCAGCAUCGGCGACCAGCAGUUGUCGCAUCCGCCACCGCCGGUUCCAACAUAUUGUCGGCGGCAGCGCCAGGACACAGGGAUCCCAAGCAGGAAAAAUUGCGGCAGUGAACGACGGGCAUGCUACUGCCGGCCGCAAGGGAGGAGGAGGAGAGGGGCAGCCGCGUUGGUGA
rnacentral:rRNA from 1 species